UGCACGGUGGCGCAGUUGGUAGCACUGUUGCCUUGAUAUGAGUGGCUGCACGGUGCUCAGUUGGUAGCACUGUUGCCUUGCAGCAAGAAGGUCCUGGGUUCGAUUCCCGGCCGGGGGUCUUUCUGCAU